rnacentral:rRNA from 1 species
GCGUGUGUGAAGAAGGCCUUAUGGUUGUAAAGCACUUUACUGCGACGAGGAUGCUACUUUAGAUUAAUACCUACUAGAUAGUGGACGUUACUCCGCAGAUAUAUAGCAGCCAGGCUAACUCUGUGCCAGCAGCCGCGGUAAUACAGAGGGUGCAAGCGUUAAUCGGAUUUACUGGGCGUAAAGCGCGCGUAGGCGGCUAAUUGAGUCAAAUGUGAAAUCCCCGAGCUUAACUUGGGAAUUGCAUUCGAUACUGGUUAGCUAGAGUGUGGGAGAGGAUGGUAGAAUUCCAGGUGUAGCGGUGAAAUGCGUAGAGAUCUGGAGGAAUACCGAUGGCGAAGGCAGCCAUCUGGCCUAACACUGACGCUGAGGUGCGAAAGCAUGGGGAGCAAACAGGAUUAGAUACCCUGGUAGUCCAUGCCGUAAACGAUGUCUACUAGCCGUUGGGGCCUUUGAGGCUUUAGUGGCGCAGCUAACGCGAUAAGUAGACCGCCUGGGGAGUACGGUCGCAAGACUAAAAAUCAAAUGAAUUGACGGGGGCCCGACAAGCGGUGGAA